rnacentral:rRNA from 1 species
ACUAGCAGUAAGAGUUUGANCCUGGCUCAGAACGACGCUGGCGCAGGCCUAACACAUGCAAGUCGAACGCUCCAGCAAUGGAGAGUGGCAGACGGUGAGUAACACGUGGGAACCUUCCGUAUGGUUCGGAAUAGCUCGAAGGGAAACGUUUGGGGUAAUACCGGAUUAAGCCCUUCGGGGGAAAGAUUUAUCGCCAUUUGGAUGGGCCCGCGUCGGAUUAGCUAGUUGGUGAGGUAACGGCUCACCAAGGCGACGAUCCGUAGCUGGUCUGAGAGGAUGAUCAGCCACACUGGGACUGAGACACGGCCCAGACUCCUACGGGAGGCAGCAGUGGGGAAUCUUGCGCAAUGGCCUAACGGCUGACGCAGCGACGCCGCGUGUGGGAGGACGCCCUUCGGGGUGUAAACCACUGUUGCCCGGAACGAACCUGCCCCAUUGGGGGCACUGACGGUACCGGGUGAGGAAGCACCGGCUAACUCCGUGCCAGCCGCCGCGGUAAUUC